GCAAGGGUGAGGAAAGUCCGGACUCCGCAGGGUGGAGGACCCGGUCGUCAAGGCCGGGAGCGCGGCGGCAAGCGCCGCGUAUGGAAAGCGUCACAGAGAACAGACCGCCUUCCGGAGCGUCCGCGCAAGCGGGCGCGAAGGGGGGCAAGGGUGAAAGGGCGGUGUAAGAGACCACCGGGGCCGCGCGAGAGCGCGCCCGCACGACAAGCCCUCCUCGGAGCAAGAUCAAAUAGGGGACCGACGGGCGACCCGUCCGGUCCGCGCAGGGCCUCUCGCCGCGACGGCUUCAGCCGUCCGGCCACGGCGCAGCGCGGUGAAGUCCCGGGUUGAUUGCGUUAGAUGAAUGAUCGGACCCGCAAGGGGAACAGAAUCUGGCUUAUUCGCCG
rnacentral:RNase_P_RNA from 1 species